rnacentral:rRNA from 1 species
UACGUAGGGUGCGAGCGUUAAUCGGAAUUACUGGGCGUAAAGUGUGCGCAGGCGGCUUCGCAAGUCGAGUGUGAAAUCCCCGAGCUUAACUUGGGACUUGCGCUCGAAACUACGGAGCUGGAGUGUGGCAGAGGAAGGUGGAAUUCCACGUGUAGCGGUGAAAUGCGUAGAGAUGUGGAGGAACACCGAUGGCGAAGGCAGCCUUCUGGGCCAACACUGACGCUCAUGCACGAAAGCGUGGGGAGCAAACAGG